AUUGAACGCUGGCGGCAUGCCUAACACAUGCAAGUCGCGCGGGCUGUAGCAAUACAGCUAGCGGCGGACGGGUGAGGAAUACAUAGGAAUUUGCCUCAGAGCGGGGGAUAGCCCAGGGAAACUUGGAGUAAUACCGCAUGAUGUCGAAAGACCAAAGCAGGGGACCGCAAGGCCUUGCACUCUGAGAGAAGCCUAUGUCUGAUUAGCUAGUUGGUGAGGUAAUGGCUCACCAAGGCGACGAUCAGUAACUGGUCUGAGAGGACGAUCAGUCACACCGGAACUGAGACACGGUCCGGACUCCUACGGGAGGCAGCAGUGGGGAAUAUUGGACAAUGGGCGCAAGCCUGAUCCAGCAAUGCCGCGUGUGUGAAGAAGGCCUUCGGGUUGUAAAGCACUUUAGGCAGGGAAGAAAAAGUUCAAGCUAAUAUCUUGAGCCUUGACGGUACCUGAAGAGUAAGCACCGGCUAACUCUGUGCCAGCAGCCGCCGUAAAAC
rnacentral:rRNA from 1 species